CAAUAGGUGAGAAUCCUGUUUGUCAUGUGCAGCCCUUUGUGCACGGUGUAUAGCUGAGUUCCUUGGCAUUGGAAUGCAAAGUGGGUGGUAAGUUUCAUGUAAAGGUAAACAUCAAUUGACUGAUAGCACACAAGUACCAUGAGGGAAAUAUGAAAAGGACUUUGAAAAAGAAUUAAUGAUUUGUAUUUGCUGAACACAAAGUAAACAGACUUGAUUUGCUUGGUGGGAGUGUUGCACUUGCUUGACAAGAGCUUUGGGCUGUGGGUGUAAUGAUUCUUUCUUUGCAUGCCAGUUUCUAUUUGUACAUCUGAUUACCUUUGCACAUGAAUGAUAAGUCUCCUGUGGGGGGUGGAUUGCAUGUGC
rnacentral:rRNA from 1 species